UACGAAGGGGGCUAGCGUUGCUCGGAAUCACUGGGCGUAAAGGGUGCGUAGGCGGGUCUUUAAGUCAGGGGUGAAAUCCUGGAGCUCAACUCCAGAACUGCCUUUGAUACUGAAGAUCUUGAGUCCGGGAGAGGUGAGUGGAACUGCGAGUGUAGAGGUGAAAUUCGUAGAUAUUCGCAAGAACACCAGUGGCGAAGGCGGCUCACUGGCCCGAUACUGACGCUGAGGCACGAAAGCGUGGGGAGCAAACGGG
rnacentral:rRNA from 1 species